UGGGCGACACAGUGAGACUCUGUCUCAAAAAAAAAAAAAAAAAAAAAAAGAAAAAGAAAAAGAGAAUGAACCAAUCUGAUCCUAUGAAGCAGUGAGCCUUGGAUCAAUCUUUUCACGUGGGAUCCUCCUUGGGUAACUGGCGCUACGGCCCAGCUCCUCCUCCAGCACCUCUUCUCUUGCAGAAUCUUUGGGAACUGGCUGGCAGUGGAAUUCUCCAAGUCAGGUGAAGUCACUGUCUCUCAUGUACCAAAAUUGCUAUUCCAGAUGGACACACUGUUUUUUCUAACACAUUUCUAGGACUCAGCUUAAAAAAAAAUUAUGUCAAUAGCUUUAUUGGCUCCAGAUCAGCAAAAGAAAAAAGGGAUCAGAAAGCUCUGCCUUUCAACAGAGCAAUCAAAAACGCUGAACCUGUCUUCCCCCAAAAACUUAUUUAUGGCUUUCCUUUCCGAAUUCUUUCCUUGUGGUGGUUAGACAUGCACAGAGUCUUUGAAGUGGCUUAGACAUGUUUUCUGCAUGUGUGAGCAGCUGUUUCCCUGCAGGGUUGGUUUGGAAGCAGGUUUUCCUUAUGAUUUCUAGUCAUCCACCAGAAGGUCUGUCAUGGGAUUUUGCACGGGACUUGGUCAUGGUGGACAAAUAAGAGGGUUGUAGAGGUGAUUCCGCACCCCUACUGUGGUCUUCAAAUGCUCCUCUCAGGCGACACCCUUCGAGGCUCUGGAAUCCACCCCUGGGGGUGUGACUCCCCCCUUCCUCCUGUGCUCCCACGUUGCUCCUGUGUCAGAAGCUGCGUCAUAUCAGCUAUGCACAUGAUAAAUCGAAAGCGAAGCUGCAGUGCAAACAUCACUGGGGCGGCUUUCCUGUCACUCCCAGGACCCCAGCGCCAGCAUCCAAGCCCUCCUCAGGGCUUGCGCUCUGACUGGGUGAUGUGUCCGUCCAAUCGUGACUGCACAGUGAUCUCUCCAGUCUCUACUUUUCUUCUAAAAGCAAAACCUACCCUUCCACGGCUACAUAUUGAUUAAAUGAGGCAACACAUAAAGUAAGGAUAGGCAAUGCACAGAAAGCACUCAGAACUUUCUUGUUACCACUGUCAUGAUCGCAUGCUGGUCUAAGCAGGGCUUUCGGACAAAUAAAGGCCCCAAAGGCUGCAUCAGUCAUUCACCCAUAUUUCAAUCUCUGUCUCACUCUCCUGUCUUAGAAAAAAAUAAACCUCCUGUGAUUCGGGGUCCCCUGUGGCUACCUUAUUAUCUCUUUUGUUACAAAGUCAGUAUCCAGGAGAUUUACAUCAUUGACAUUUUCUCCACUUCCCCUCAACCUGUAACCCCCGCCGUCAGGCUGUGCCCCCAUCGGCGCUCUAGACCCCGGCAUCCCACCAUGGUCAAGCCCAGAGGCCUCAUUUGAGGCUGUGGAACUGCCCUGUUCAGUAGCUGUGCAGAGGGAUACAGAACACUACAAAUGUAGGAAUUUGUACAUUUGUACAACGAACAGAAUUUUUAUUUAUUUUACACUUAAAAACAGAUACUUUAUUCAGUUGUUGAAAAACUUUUAAGUACAAUUGGAACCACUUGCAUCUGUGAAUGUAGUUUUUCGACUGUAAAUUGUAUAAACUCUAAAUACAGAUCAAGCAUUUCUGAUGAAACUUUGGUGUCUGAAUUGAGAUGUGCUGUAAGUGUAAAAUGUGACGUCGGGUUUCCAAGAUUUGGUUCCAAAAAAAGAAUGUAAAAUAUCUUGAUCUUUAAGAUCUUCAUUACAUUUUGAAAUCACAGCAUUUUGGCUAUAUUGGGUUGAACAAAAUAUAUUAUUAAAAUGGAUUUCAUGUUUUGGUUUUCUUUUUAGGGUGGCUACUAGAACAUUGGCAACUUGCAUUUUAUUUCUGUCGUUCUAUGUGCAUUGGGCAUUUGCUCCUUGAAAUUAUCUGGCUUCUGAGCUCCAGGCUCUCCUGCCGCCUCUCCCACCCCAGGCCUUUCUGUUUUCCCCCUGUAGAUUGGUGGCCUCACAGCUGCUCCUCAGGGUUGUGCUUCCAAGGGUCCUGUCCUAGCACUUUUUCUCUGUCACAUGGUACAUCUUGCUGUGGGACUGCCCCAUUGCUUUUUGCUUGUGCACCAACUUCUAACAUUUGCUGAGCCUUUCUGCAGACCAUUGCAGCACAAUCUCCUCUGACACCAAACUCAACAUGCUCCAGGUCAUUCUAUCCCCUUCCUGCAGAAUCCUCAUCCUCUUUCUGGUUGCUGUCCCUCUGAACUGUGUCCAAAUCAUUCCUGCUAGAAACUGGGGGCAGCCCAGAGUCCUCCCUCACUCUCAUGCCCAACCAUCUCAACAGAUACGGAUCCCACAGCUUAUCUCCAGUAAAUACAAUUCAAUCAGCACCCCUCUGGUCUGCACCAGGCAUGAGCCAUGUCCCCAUGACCCCCCUGUCCUCAUGGCCUCCUGUCCCCAUGGCCUCCUUUCCCCAUGACUUCCUGUCCCUGUGGCCCCUGGUCACCAUGGCGUCCUGUCCCCAUGACUUCCCUAUCCCCAAGGACCCCCUGUUCCCAUGGCCUUUUGUUUCUAUGGCCUCCCUGUUCCCUAAUCCCCGGUCCCCACCCUCUCUCCUUGUCAGCCAGUCUCUGGGUCUAGCCAGAGGAAGGUUUGUAACCUGACAGACUCACCUGCUUAAUUCUCUUCAGUGGUGUGGAUUUAUUAGGAAGAUUGCUAAAUGCUUCUUGAUAUGUUAGGAAUCCUGCUUGAAAUCUGAAGAGGGAGACGCUAGGGCAGAGAAGCAUAAGGUACAGUCCUCAUUUUCAUUCUGUUCCUCAGGACGGUACAAAGGCCCUUUGUCCACUUCUCCAUCUCCCAUUCCCUUUCAGUCUGCUCCAAGCUCCCUCUGUGCCAACAGGUGUCCCUGGCCCUCAGCUGCUCCAUGCUGUGACCCAGCCUCCCAUCCUGCCCACUGGUCACCUCCACCUUACUCCUCCCUGGCAUCUCUACAGAUCCUCCACCCAUGUAGGGAGGCACCCUCUCUCUUCUGUGCCCCUCUGAACCACGUGGCAUCUCUGUCACAUUACCUUCUGACUGACUGUCCCUGGGUCUUAUCAGCCUGACCUCAAACCACAUCGCAUUAAGAUUAAUGUUCAAAUCAUGGCCAGAACUGCAGGGUGUCAACUGGGGCUCAGCUGCCCCGGCAUCCCUGUGAGCCCUCUGAGAGGUUGGCCCAGAGCCGGGGCUCAAGUCCAUGUUCCUCUCCCCGGACCCCUGAGAUGCCUCACCCUGGCCUGUGCCAGGAGGAGUGUGGCCUAGGAGUGUUGGGGGCAUUAAGGGGUACGUUGUUUGCAGAGAAUUAAAAAAACAGUGAUUAAAAAUUAAAACCAACUCGAGGUUCAUCUGCUUUCCAGUAUCACCCUCCUCUGGCAAUUCUAAACAAUGGCAGAGAGAGAGCACUGCUCCCCACCCCCAGGGUGGCGUCUCCCUCUGCAGCCCCUGCGCCACUCAAAGCAUUUGUCCUAGCCACUUAUCCCACCGUCUUACCAUAAUUGCUGGUCUACUUCUCUACAGCAACUACUAAACCAUAUUAUUUUAAGGGUAGAAGCUAGAUUUUAUAUUUAUUUUCUCAGGGCUUAGCAUAAUCUACAAUAAAGAAUGUAUUAAAAAACUUAUUGAAUUAAUAAAUUAAUAGAUUUUCUCAAUUUAUCAGAAUAUCAAAAGCAGGAAGUCCUUUGUCAACUAAAUGAGUGGUAAGAAGACAGUAGGAAUUUAUUUAAAAUAAUCUUGCAUUAUUCUAAGGUUACUAGGGUGCCAGCCAAUGUUUUACACUUUUGUUUUAUGGUACAGGAAAGGGAUUAUUGCAUGCAGAAUGUGAAUUUGAAGUCCUUCAGGAUUCUGAUCAACAGCAAGAACUUUAAUGAAUGCAUUCAUUACUAUUUCUUAGCAUGUACUAGGGCUUGGGCUACAGAGUAAAGCGGGAAAAUGGACCUAUGCAUUUUACUGAGAUUUCAGCAUUGACAGUAGAAUUGUUCUGGUGAAUACUGAACUUAGAAGAAGGUCCAACUAAGCAGAUGUGGAAUUUUGCAGGCAUUUCCCAGGAUAAAGUGACAUAUUCCUCUCCCUCCUGGUGAAGUUUCAGCUCCAUUAAUCAUGACCACUUGGACACUUCAAUGAACUCAUGGAAACAGUCACUGCCAUGCUCUGAGGAGGUCUAUUGAUUUCUAGGUGCCUUUGCAAUUCAUGACCGAGAUCAGAAAGUUUUCAGCCAUCUGCACAGAUUCUAUUCAUCCCUCUGUGUGUGUGUGUCACAUGUGUGCGCAGAAGAAAGGCUUGCCAAGUUUAUCAGCCGGAGUCUUUACAGAUCACGUGAAAGUCUUGUUUUCUUUUUAAGGAGAAGCCUCUGGUGUCUGAUGCCUUUGAUCUGGGCAAGAGACAGCCUUGCCUUUGUGUACAGUGGAGGGACGAGGCACAGGAGGCCAGAGGGCAGGUUCUGCGAUGUUGGGACAUAAGAUGCAGCUGUGGUGGUCUUUGAACUGUGCAUGCAGUAACAGGAAGACUGUGGACACAGGUCUCCUUUGCAGAAUUUUAGAAAUAGGCAGACUCUGCUCUUCCUCUAAGAGUCACAUUGCUGUAAGGCAGAGGAAUAAAACCACUUUCGGCAGCUCCUGAUGGGACACAGCCAUGGCCACGGAGCAAGGUGAUGAACGAGGCAGAAGAGCCCAGCUGAAGCCCUAGUGCCAUCCACCUACCACUGCAAGCACGUUGACCUUUGACAGCUGGCUUUAUCUCUACUGCACAGUGAAGGAUCAUAUUACAGAAAUAGCAAUGCCUAUGCCACUUGGCUGUUGGGAAGAUGAAACAACAUGAUUUUUGUUUAAGUGCCAUGUAAUCCACACAGUGUUACACACAUGUUAUUUUUAUUCAUGUCUCUAUUAAAACAGUUAAGCUUUGGAUUUGCACUUCUCUGUUUCCAAGAACAUUGUAGAGGGAGAGAAAUCAGUGAGUUGAAAAUCAAACCACUCUCAAAACAGCUCAAGAAAGCAACCAGUUCAUCUUCUACUAUAUGGUGGUGGUGCAUGCAUGCUUCUGUCCCCUUCCCAGUCAGGCCAUGCCUGGAUGAAACUGCAGCAACAGGAACCUGCAGAAAUCUGCAGGCAGGGAUGACGUAAAAUAGAUCCGUGUGUCCACAGCAGAGAGCUUCCCCACUUCAGAGUCAAAGAAACUACUUUCUCCCAACCCAGUGCCAUGGGAGGAAGAAUGGGAUUUGUUAUUUUUAAAUCUUUUGGAAGAUUCAACUGGGAUCCUGCAUGGGAAUUUCUACUAGGAUAUAUUUCUUGAAGACUUGUUCUCUUUGCAUUACCAUUUCAAAACAGAAUAGUUCAUAAACAUCUACUGUGCAGCAUUGAACCCUUCUCAUUUUAGAGGUGUCCUGGGAAAAGUUUGACAUUUAACAGGCAGGGCUGUGAUUUGAAGUCUUUAGGUCAGCACCCCAGAGCAUGGAAUUUUUUUGGUGACUGUAUUUUCAGACAGGUCUAGUAAAAAUUAUUUUUAUUCUUAAAUGUCCUCUGUCUGUGGUGGGAGCCUUGUCUUUGAGAGUAGGCACAGUGAUGUCUAGCUGUCACCACAGUCACAGUUUCAUCCAGGCAUGGCCUGGCUGGGAAGAGGACAGAAGCAUGAAUGCACCACCACCAAAUAGUAGAAGAUGAACUGGUUGCUUUCUUGAGCUGUUUUGAGAAUGAGUUGAUUUUCAACUCACUGAUGAGCUAGUCUGCAAAAUGCUGAGAACAGGGGAGAAGGACAGAAGACAGAGAGAGCACAGGCUAGGGCGAUGGCUCCAAAGGCUCUGGGAGAAUGGGAUUGUUACUGAAACAACAGGGGUUUGGUCUAGGUCCUGUUGCUUGCCACACAGAAAGCCAAUCACUGAGACAAGUAUUGCCAGGGAAGGCAGCUUUAUUCAGAUGGUACAGCCAAGGAAAUGGGAGAUCAGUCUCAAAUCCAUCUGCUAAACUGACUAAAAUUAAGGGUUUACAUAGCAGGGAAGAAAUGUAACUACAUGUGGGAAAACAGGAAUUAGGGAGGGGUAAGGAAGAGGAGUUAGCCAACAGGCCAACAGGCAGCAGGUGGUGAGUUAGGCAAUCAUGACGAAUGAGGGGUCUGUUGUCUCAUUGUCCUGAUGCUGUGAUCUGGAAAGUUUCAGUUCCUUGAUACUAUCUGUGAGACCUGAUGGUUGCUUUCCUGAGAAAGGAACUCAGAUAAGACAAAUGUAACUU